CUGCACAGAGUCACAGACUGCCGCCGCCACGCUACAGCAGCGCCGAGAGCACCUUCUCCUCUUUCCACCUCCUCUCCACGCCCGCCUCCACAACCCGAUUCUCCGUAAGGACUGCAGGUGCUCACAACCUGCAGCCUCAACCGAGCCCAAGCGCUCACAGCGUCCAAGAAGCUCUCCACCUGAAGUCCGCCUGCAAACCCCGAUGCUCGCUCGCCCUCCUCUCCGCCGUCAGCCUCUCCCACCCCGAAAUUGCUCGCAUCCUCGCUGCCACCCUUCUUCCUCCUGGUCGGCUCUGUGGCCCGCCGCUCCACGGCUCCAGGCAUCACCCUUCUUUGGUUCCAUCAACGGAUUGACGAAGAAAGGCGUUGGUUUCUUUCCAAUAGUUUGUUAUGGCGAGAGGAUUUCAGAAGAACCGAGCAAGGAGCUCAUUCCAAGAAUCAGGCACUCCGGGAAGGCACCAGUGGCUGCAGUCCUGAUAUAGCUCAGGCGACUUCCGCUCCUCCUCGCUCAACUUCUGUCGGCGAUAGACUGAAGGGUGUGCCUCCUUUCUGUAGUCAGUCAUCCGAGUGAUGUUCAUGUAGACGACAGGAGUUUUCAUCUCAUGGAGCACCUCCUCCAGAAUGCUCAUCUUCUGUGGGUAUGGUACAAGGAAUUUACAAAAGCCUCUAUGAACCUGAAAUGGGACGCUGAGUAGCCUCUGAAGAAUACAGUUGUUCUCCUGGGGUUCACAUUGGCAUCAACCCACUUGGCCCAGGUGUUAAGAGCUCUCCGAUUGGUUACUGCCUGGAGGUCCUCUUCUGUGAGAAGCAGCACCGUUGCCGUGAAUCACCCCUGCAACAGCACUCCCAGUCUGAUUGAUGAGUGAAGCAGCAGUUCCAUUACUUGUUGUGGCUUCCCCUGAACCUGCACUCGUCUCGGAGCCAUUGAAGCGAACAGGCGCACCUCCUUUCGCCAUUGUGCCA